GUAACAAGGUUUCCGUAGGUGAACCUGCGGAAGGAUCAUUAUCAAUUUAACAGUUCGUGGGAUAGACGCUCGUAAGGCUACCCUUCCCACGCUGUUUCAACCCUUUGUCUUUUGCGUACUGUAUGUUUCCUCGGCGGGUUCGCCCGCCGAUAGGACACUUCAAAACCUUUUGUAAUUGCAAUCAGCGUCAGAAAAACUAUAAUAGUUACAACUUUCAACAACGGAUCUCUUGGUUCUGGCAUCGAUGAAGAACGCAGCGAAAUGCGAAAAGUAGUGUGAAUUGCAGAAUUCAGUGAAUCAUCGAAUCUUUGAACGCACAUUGCGCCCCUUGGUAUUCCAUGGGGCAUGCCUGUUCGAGCGUCAUUUGUACCCUCAAGCUCUGCUUGGUGUUGGGUGUUUGUCCCGCCUCGCGCGUGGACUCGCCUUAAAGUCAUUGGCAGCCGGAAUAAUUCUGGGGAACGCAGCACAACUGCAGCCUCCAUUUUACGCCGAGCGUCCAGUAAGCCUUUUUUUCAACGUUUGACCUCGGAUCAGGUAGGGAUACCCGCUGAACUUAAGCAUAUCAAUAA
rnacentral:misc_RNA from 1 species